GUCUACGGCCAUGCUAACCAGAACGAGCCCGAUCCCGUCUGAUCUCGGAAGCUGAGCAGGGUCAGGCCUGGUUAGUACUUGGAUGGGAGACCACCUAGGAAGACCAGGUGCUGUGUAGG
rnacentral:rRNA from 1 species